rnacentral:rRNA from 1 species
GACGAACGCUGGCGGCGUGCUUAACACAUGCAAGUCGAACGAAGAGCGAUGGAAGCUUGCUUCUAUCAAUCUUAGUGGCGAACGGGUGAGUAACGCGUAAUCAACCUGCCCUUCAGAGGGGGACAACAGUUGGAAACGACUGCUAAUACCGCAUACGAUCUAAUCUCGGCAUCGAGGAUAGAUGAAAGGUGGCCUCUACAUGUAAGCUAUCACUGAAGGAGGGGAUUGCGUCUGAUUAGCUAGUUGGAGGGGUAACGGCCCACCAAGGCGAUGAUCAGUAGCCGGUCUGCGAGGAUGAACGGCCACAUUGGGACUGAGACCCGGCCCAGACUCCUACGGGAGGCAGCAGUGGGGAAUCUUCCGCAAUGGACGAAAGUCUGACGGAGCAACGCCGCGUGAGUGAUGACGGCCUUCGGGUUGUAAAGCUCUGUUAAUCGGGACGAAAGGCCUUCUUGCGAAUAGUGAGAAGGAUUGACGGUACCGGAAUAGAAAGCCACGGCUAACUACGUG